UUAUAACAAAGAAUGCAUGUGAAGAAUAU
rnacentral:piRNA from 1 species